rnacentral:rRNA from 1 species
CCUUUUGUAUAAUGGGUCAGCGACUUAUAUUCUGUAGCAAGGUUAACCGAAUAGGGGAGCCGAAGGGAAACCGAGUCUUAACUGGGCGUUAAGUUGCAGGGUAUAGACCCGAAACCCGGUGAUCUAGCCAUGGGCAGGUUGAAGGUUGGGUAACACUAACUGGAGGACCGAACCGACUAAUGUUGAAAAAUUAGCGGAUGACUUGUGGCUGGGGGUGAAAGGCCAAUCAAACCGGGAGAUAGCUGGUUCUCCCCGAAAGCUAUUUAGGUAGCGCCUCGUGAAUUCAUCUCCGGGGGUAGAGCACUGUUUCGGCAAGGGGGUCAUCCCGACUUACCAACCCGAUGCAAACUGCGAAUACCGGAGAAUGUUAUCACGGGAGACACACGGCGGGUGCUAACGUCCGUCGUGAAGAGGGAAACAACCCAGACCGCCAGCUAAGGUCCCAAAGUCAUGGUUAAGUGGGAAACGAUGUGGGAAGGCCCAGACAGCCAGGAUGUUGGCUUAGAAGCAGCCAUCAUUUAAAGAAAGCGUAAUAGCUCACUGGUCGAGUCGGCCUGCGCGGAAGAUGUAACGGGGCUAAACCAUGCACCGAAGCUGCGGCAGCGACGCUUAUGCGUUGUUGGGUAGGGGAGCGUUCUGUAAGCCUGCGAAGGUGUGCUG